ACGGGCUCAAGGUCACCACUGCCACAUGCAGCGCUCCAAACAACACUUCCUGUUUGUUACUUAUAUAAAUGCCAGCGAUACCCCAACUAACACUUUGAACGCUCGCUCACUCACGCAGCUGUUAUACCUAUUGCUCCAGCAUGUACAGUAUAGCCAAAAAGACUAAGAAAUGCGACAAUGAACGUGUCAGCUGAGUAAGAAUUUCACCAGCCGUCACCUUCAUCCACUCACUUUCUCCUGAGUAGUGGCACGGGGGUCAAGUCGCCGUAGACUGAUAACUGAGUCUGCUAGCUCUCGCUACAAGCUGGCCGACUACAGAACCACAACCUGGCUGAUCUGAAACGUUUUACAGAAACUCAAGUUUCUUCUUGAAGACAAUUAAAGGUCUGCUGAUAAUUCGUCCUAUGUUUGAUGGGAGGCUGUUGAAUAUGCUUUUAAGUUACAGCACGUUUGUGUUUUGUUUCCUUGCACACUAAAACAGGAGGCCUGGUCCGAGACCAAGCAGCAGGGGCUGCGACCUCAAAACCAUCAUGCAGUCAUCAAGUAGAUAGUUCACACGGCAGUGAGGGAAUUCAAGUGAAACAAAUGAACGAUAUGAGAGGAAGACAGAGUUCAGUGACCUUACAGCAGCAUCAUAGCCUGGAGAGAAGACUUGAAGAGUUGACCCCCU